AAUGAACGUUGGCGGCAUGGAUUAGGCAUGCAAGUCGGGGGAAUCCCAACAAUGGGGGAACCGGCGUAAGGGGCAGUAAGGCAUGGGUACCUACCUUGGGGUUCGGGAUAGCCAUCAGAGAUGGUGGGUAACGCCGGAUGACGUCGUGAGACCAAAGAUUUAUCGCCCUUAGAGGGGCCCAUGUGAUAUUAGCUAGUUGGUGGGGUAACGGCCCACCAAGGCGAAGAUGUCUAGCGGGUGUGAGAGCACGACCCGCGCCACUCGCACUGAGACACUGGCGAGACACCUACGGGUGGCUGCAGUCAAGGAUCUUCGGCAAUGAGCGCAAGCUUGACCGAGCGAUGCCGCGUGAGCGAUGAAGGCCUUCGGGUUGUAAAGCUCUUUAGUGGGGGAGAAAAGCCGCAAGGUGUGAUCUAUCCCAAAAAUAAGCACGGGCUAAGUUCGUGCCAGCCGCCGCAGUAA
rnacentral:rRNA from 1 species